CCUACGGGUGGCUGCAGUGGGGGAUAUUGCACAAUGGGGGGAACCCUGAUGCAGCGACGCCGCGUGGGUGAAGGAGUAUUUCGGUAUGUAAAGCCCUAUCGGCAGGGAAGCAUUUAGACGGUACCUGACUCCGACGCCCCUGCUAACUACGUGCCAGCAGCCUCGGUACUCAGUAGGGGGCAAGCGUUAUCCGGAUUCACUGGGUGUAACGGGAGCGUAGACGGCCAGGCAAGCCUGGAGUGAACGCCCGGGGCCCAACCCCGGGACUGCUCUGGGAACUGUCCGGCUGGAGUGCGGGAGGGGCAGGCGGAAUGCCUGGUGUAGCGGUGAAAUGCGUAGAUAUCAGGAGGAACACCGGCGGCGAAGGCGGCCUGCUGGACCGCGACUGACGUUGAGGCUCGAAAGCGUGGGGAGCGAACAGGAUUAGAUACCCCGGUAGUC
rnacentral:rRNA from 1 species